GGAGGUCUCCAGUGCUCUCCACUGUGAAAGUGACAGGAGAGUAGGAGGCUGAUUAAUCAGAAUCUAAUAUGAUGAAGGACCUUCUUAAAGGUAGAAGAUGUCCCAGUUAUAGUUUAUCUGCCCUUUAAAAGUUCUUGAAAACUAGGGGGUCUUGGAGGAAAGAAAAUUGAUUUCUCAUGGUUCCUCUUGUACCUUGGGGCAGAAAGUAAAUUCAAAGGGGCCCUGCCAUGAAAGGUCAGAGUCUGCUGCUGUGGCUGAUAAUGAGAUCUCUCAGAGAUAAAUCAAAACACCUGGACUUCACCACGGAGCAGCUGCUUGGGUUUAACCCAAGAUUUGGACUCAGGAAGAACAGAGGGCACAUACUAAACCCUGCCUGCUGUGGAAGCAGAGGUGGCAGCAGCAACAAUGCUGUAGCCCCUGCUAUGUUGGUGCCAGAGCUGUUCUUUCCUGCCUGUGCCUGGCACAACCAGCACCUGCCCACAGUUUGUGCAGAGCCUCUGGCCCCCACCAAUACCUCAGAAAGAGAUGAGCCAGAGAAAACUAGGAGAGAGAUGCUCAGAAAAAAAGAAAAGAAGCAGAGAAAAGGCUGCUUCUCACCCUGGCAGGGUGGCAGGAGGAGCAGAGGCACCUGCAGGCAUGGAAGGCUGUCCUGCUCUCUGCUGAGCAGUGAGCAAUCAGUAAUUACUGGAGAGCUUUCAGGGAGCUGGACACACUAUGGUGGUGCCUUAUUUAGAGUCUGCCCAAGUGCUGAGUCCUGGAGUGUAAAAUGCAGCUAUGAAUUAGCCACAGCUGGAUUAAAUUGCUAAUUAUAAUUUGCAAAGUGUAUUCCCUUCUUCUGUCACGGACAAAUGAAAAAGACUCACUUGGCAUGACCUCCCUGCCACCCUCACCCCGUGACGGGGAGAUAAUUGAUGAAUGUCUUGUGGUGAUUGAGUUACCAAGUGAGUCCUGAAGUGUCUUUCCUCAUCUGUGUGUCAUACAAGUUGCACUUCUGAUUUGCCUGAUGAGAAAGAGCCAGACCAGCAUCACUCCAUGGAAAUCCACAGCAAUUCAGUGCCCUUGUUGUUGUUGAGGGGCAUUUACUGACACGUUAUUGAGGGGCCAGGAAAAUUAGAAAUCUUGGGAAUGCAUUUUAAAUGGUGAUCAGCACAUAGAUAUAAACAUGAAAAAGCUCUUAAUAGAGGAAACACCAUAAAACUGGGGAAUCCAGGCCCAAGGUGCACUGGCACUUUGUGGUCCCCCUUUAGGCUGAACAGGGAUGCUCUCCUUAGGAGCAGUGUGAACCAGACUGGCACACACUUCAAAUUUACCAAGAUUUGGGUUGCAGAUUCAGUGCAGUGCAGCUUGGGAGCUGCUGAGGGAGGCCUGGGAGGUGCUCAAGCUGUGGAGGAAACCUGGCACCAGGGCAGGCACUGGCCCUUGCUGUGGCCACUCUGGAGCUUCUUCCCUGGCACUCAGUGCUGGACACUCACAUCAGAAGCCACACGACCAGAAGGACAAGCCUGUCUAAAACACCUCUGACAGUGAGUGAUGGCCACAUGUUACAGAUCCUUUUGUGAAACAUAACCAGCCUGCUGUAAGACAAUUUCUGAUGUGACUGAAAAUAAAAAUCCUGACAACAGCACUUCAAACAGGACUGCUGCAAAUCUCUAUAAAUGGCUUUAAUGAAACCAGCCAGGAGGAGAAGGAGAGCAAAUCAAAGGUAGGACAACUCCUUUGUUCAAAUUACUGUGAUUGGUAUCAAAAUCAUGUUAGUGGUUGUUUGCACCAUUAUACUUGAGGUACAUCCUCAUUUCUCCCUCAGUUCUGAGAGGUUCACCCACUUGAGCUAUCACUCUGCACCUCAGCCUUUCAAGCAGAGCAAGUGAAGCCACAGGGGCAGACUGAGGGGCAAGAAGCCUGUGGGGUGCUGGCAUCCUGCCCUCUGCUCAGCACCACCAGCAAAGCAUCUCUCAGGGGCAGGACCUGCCUCCUCCACGAGCCUUCCCACUGCUCCCAGGGGCAGCAGAUCCCACACACAACUCCUGAACUCAGUGCUCAGAGCCUCCAUGUGCCCUUCAGUCUCUGUCACCAGACUCUGACACUUGGAUCCCUCCUGUCUAGCUCUAAUUAACAGCGUGUGGUAAUUUGUCUCUGGUUGAAUUGGAACUUGACACCGAGUGGAUUUGUGCCCCAGCCAAAGGUGGGGUUCAUGCUGAUGAUGACAGAACGGGGGAUGACUUACAUAAGUGUGAUGGUAUUAUGCUGCCUGGAGCUCUGGAUUUUCUCAGUAUAUGAUGAAUGUGAGGCAUUUAAAAAAUUAGACACUCUAUUUUACAUUAUUUUCUAGAGCGUGGAUAUCUGUGGGUUGUCUGGAAAUCCAUUAGCAAGAAAUGUAAAGAUGCUUAAAGGCAUUUACCCAGAUUAGCUGUGUUUAUGGAGUCAAGGGUCUUUUAUGUGAUUACCUUAAAAGCUAAAGAACUGCUGCAAAACACUUACAGUGCAGACAUCGUGAGGCAAAGAAUACAGAUCUGACAGAAAGACAGAGCUGUUAAAACAAGUGCACAGCUCUGGUUCCUUUGUAUUUGCAGACAAACAACUCAGAAGGCAGAAGGGUUUUCCCCUUGCAACCCAGAUGCUGGGCUGUGCAGCUUUGAGCAUGAGAUUUAUGGGGGAGCUUUACAUUAACUUUCAUUUUCACUGUGAUUUCUGCCAGCUAGCAGGAGGGGAUGAGUAGGGAUGGGCCAGCACUGGCUGUGAUGGAGCGUUGUGCCCCUGGGAAGCAGUGUCUGAGGCCUGGGAUCAGCUGGGCGUGGCAGACUGGUGAGGUGCCCUUGGGACCGGAUUGUCUGAGCCACUUUCCUCUGUGGGAUAUUCCCUAAUGCCAGGAAUACUUGUGCUGUAUUGCUGCUGCUUCCUCUGCUCUGACUCUGCUCUUGUCACAGCAGAAGACAUAGAAAUCCUGGAGCAUUUGUGUAACAUGCCAAAACCAGUACGAAAUUGCAGAAAUCCUUUGUUUUUCAUUGUACAAAAGUAUUUGCAAGUGUGGAAGAGAAAGGAGAAGUGCAAAAGCUUCCAUGAAGUUUUUGCCUGCUCCAUCUUUUGUCAAGGAUUGCUCUUUCAGUUGUACAUCGAGGCCUGCAUCCCCUUGGCUCCUUUGUCCUUUAGCAUAAAAAGUAAUUUGUCAGCAAAAGAAGUAAAGUUUUGUUUUUCAGUACAGAUCUGGCUGUCCUCCCACUGAGACUUUCAACUCUUUAUUUCAGGAAUUGAUGGUCUCAGUUUCUGAUUCUCUUUCCUUGGUGUUUGUAUUGAUUUUUUUUUUUUUUUCCAGGAGGGUUAUUUUCACUGUGGUGUCAAAACUAUCUUUCUGUCUCCACUUACAGCAGGUAAUAGCUCAGCUCGGCCAAUUACAUGUUUUUCUGGGCUAGCCCCGCUCUUUGCACAAGUUCCCCUGACAAUGUGGAGCCUGGCUGACCCGAUGUCUUUGCUUUCCCUUUGAUCUUGUCUCUGCAGGUUCCAGACAGGAGUUGGGAAGGGCAACAGCCCCAGAGCUGGAUGUGAGCAGCAGAGGUGACCAGACAGCCUGCAUACUCCUCUUCCUCCGCCUGCAGAUACUGGCCCCUUGUUGUGCCACUCAAGGAGCUGGUGGGCAGUGCCAUCCCGGGGACAGUAUCCCUCCAUCCUGUCCCUGGUGUGGCUUUGGGCUCCUGAAGAAAUCCUAGUGUCCAUUAAAGGCUGCUCUGUUUCUAUUUUCUUCACACCAGCAGUAACUUUUCAUCUGCUGUUGCUGAAACAAAAUUCAUGAGAUCAUUUUCCCAAAGCAUGAUACUUAAAAUCUUAAUUAAAAUAUCCCUGGCUGUUCUAAUACCAAGA